UGGGUAUAACUCCGGGAAACCGGGGCUAAUACCGGAUAACAUUUUGAACCGCNUGGUUCGAAAUUGAAAGGCGGCUUCGGCUGUCACUUAUGGAUGGACCCGCGUCGCAUUAGCUAGUUGGUGAGGUAACGGCUCACCAAGGCAACGAUGCGUAGCCGACCUGAGAGGGUGAUCGGCCACACUGGGACUGAGACACGGCCCAGACUCCUACGGGAGGCAGCAGUAGGGAAUCUUCCGCAAUGGACGAAAGUCUGACGGAGCAACGCCGCGUGAGUGAUGAAGGCUUUCGGGUCGUAAAACUCUGUUGUUAGGGAAGAACAAGUGCUAGUUGAAUAAGCUGGCACCUUGACGGUACCUAACCAGAAAGCCACGGCUAACUACGUGCCAGCAGCCGCGGUAAUACGUAGGUGGCAAGCGUUAUCCGGAAUUAUUGGGCGUAAAGCGCGCGCAGGUGGUUUCUUAAGUCUG
rnacentral:rRNA from 1 species